UCCACAGUACUAUACUGUAUGUGUACAUUACAGUACAGUACUGCAGUUCAUAAUGCAUUCUGGGUAAAUUUGUUUGAGCGGGAAAAUUUUACAGUAUAUUUUGGUCUUGAUGUAACCUUGCUGUAGCCAUUGCUGUAAUGUGCCAGGUGUACUUGCAAUAAUCAGAGAAAGUGCGCCAACGUCAAAUCACACAGAGGGAGAGAGAGCACAACUCCUGGCUGCAGCUGAAGGAGGACGAUUGAUUUCUGGCAGUUCGUCUUACCAUUGCUUGUAAGCUGGAUUGGGUAAGAUGGAUCAUCUUUAAAGGCACCAGGAGUUAAGGCAGAUGUGGAGGCACAACGGGUGAUACCAGACACACACCAAGCACAUUAUGUUUGGACAUUCAAUCAUGACAUGAUCCAGGUGGAUGCUGUCCAUUGAGGAAAGAGUUUGUUCAGCGGUUUCUGGAUAGAAUUAAUUCCAAAGAUGGGAAAAAGUGCACAUCCAGACAAGGAGCAAGCAAAAAGACAAGGAACUUGGUGCAGAGAAAAGCUGUGGCCAUUAACCCCUGUGAACAGCUUCAUGCAGUCCCUGAUUGAGUUCGAAUGGACGACUUCAAAGUAAAGGCCACUGUGGUCUGUCUGCCACAGUUUAAUUUUUAAUUUAUUUUUAGUGUUCAAUGAAAUUCAAGUAGAAUAUUUAAAACUAUGGGCCAGUGUUGUUUUUACCACGGUGAAAUGUUACCUUUUAGUCGAUGAUGGACUUUAAACUGAAAACUUCAAACUAUGGAACAGUGUUCUAUUUGCCAGAGUUAAAUAUGUUACAGCAGGGGUCUCCAAACUUGUUUAUACUUGUUGAUUUUAUUUUAUGUUACUUGAUUAUAUGUUUAUUAUUGUUUAAAAUCUUGUUUUAAAUAUGUUUGUUUCAAUUAAAUGUUUUUUUUAAUAAAAUUUUGAUACAAACAUUGCUUGGAUUGCCUUUUAAUUCAUUAUGUUUUAAUUUAGCAUUUUUACCAUAUUAAUAACUAUAGAUUUAAACCUAAAUCUCUAGCUAUUUUAUAUAAUAUUAUUGUAUUAACUGUAAUAAGUAAUAAAUAGUAUUUAUGGGUCAAUAUAGACAUUACAGUAAAUUACUGUAAAAAUAGACUACUGUAAUAAAAUAUUGUAAAAUUACAGUACAGUACUGCUUUGUAACUAUACAGUACUAGUUUGUGUACUGUAAAAUGGUAUUACAGUACAGUACUGUAAAACCAAAAU